GUGUGUGUUCUACGUCGAUCAGAAGCUCCCAAAGGAGCCAAACCCUAGCUCAAGCUUAUUUGCUCAAAUUGAAAGGGGAAUUCAACCCAAAUCUAAUGCAUGUACCCGAAUUCUUAGUCAUCUAGCCCUAAAGAUCACUUGUGAAGAUGAUGUUAUGGAUAAUCAUAAUAGGAACCACACUAGCAUGGACCAAGCAUGGAAGGCUAACGGGUCAAGAUGAGGCAAGCAAGCGGGUAUGA
rnacentral:lncRNA from 1 species